CAGCGUAGCCCACUGACUUCUGUUUUUGUUUUUCAGCUUGACCACAUGGAUUACGGCUGUUAUUAGUUUACAAUUGUUAAUGUUCUAUGUUCUAUGCUCCAAUUAAACAAGAUACAUUUAAUUGCAAGCGUUAAGUGUGCGUGUGCAGCCAAAACGACGCUGGUUUAUUUAUAUGCUGCUCAAUAUUCAUAACGUAGGGUGUGUCCGAAUCCACGGGCCGGUCUAGCAAGGCUGGGUCCUUGCUUCCUAGACGACCGGAACCCAGCGGCUCUGAAUUCGGACAGUCUAGCCUUCACCUCUACGGUGGCCCGUAGGUCCCGUCCCGUCACAGCCGUGGCGGCAGCUACACGCAAAGGAAAAAUGCUAAAGCUAGCGAAAAUCGAGCAGGAAUAUUAAGGAGCUACAGCAGCUUCACGUCCAUCAGCAGCGUUUGUUCACAACCGUUUUCAGGUCAGCAUGCACUGUGCUGCACAUCUGCCUCUGUGCUGGUGAAGUUGUGGGUCUGGAGGAUGAGCCUGAGGAAGAUGUGUGUGGAGGAGGUCAGUGGUGCUCUGUCCUGGAGGAGGUACCAGCAGACCACCACUAUUGUUAACAGGCAAGUCAUUCACAGAGAUGUAACAGCCGUCGUCUGAGCCAGCCCAGCAGUAGAUGGACGAUGGAGUGGACAGUGAGAGCAAGCGUCCCAAAGCUCUCUCUGCAGACCGUCCUGUAUGAUGUUCUUCUGGCCAGAAACGUCCAGCCACGGGUCUGCUCCAGCCCUCCAUCCACGUCUGGAUCCUCCUGUAGCAGAUCCAGCUGCACUGUUAAAGACUUCCUGCUCACUCAGUUUAAAUAAAUGAUCCAGGAAGAGUCACUCAGGUUAAUCCUGCUUUAACCGUACAUAACUGGUUCAUAUUGGUUUUAAUCUGUAAAUAAGUAACGUAUUAUAAAUAAUCUUGUCUCCUUACCAUCUUUUCAUUUUCUGUUCAUGUAACAUGUUCAAAAACAUCUGUAAUAAUAAAACUGGCGAUAAAAUCAAUGACCAGAAAGAGUUAUCAGUUAGUAUUUGUUUUAAUAAAUGUGUUCAAAUAUCAAACAGCUAAAUAACAUUAACAUGAUGACAGUAGAAGGCCUCUCUCCCAGGAUGACCACCCGGUAAAGCCUCUCCUGACCCUGGACACCUGCAGUCCUACAGAGAAAAUCAGAGACCACAGGUGACAAAAAGGCAAUAAACACAUUUUUACUUCACACAAACAAUUUUUACUUCAUUAAAA